GUACUUUGAAAAGAGAGUCAAAAAGACCGCGAAACCGUUAGGAGGGAAACGAAUGCAGCUGAAGUGGCUCCGUAUCAGGUUCAGGGGACGUCGGAGGGCGAUCCGGGUUGCGGCGGAAGUCGUGCCCGGAGCGGCGGUCGACAACUCUGCACUCCUGUUGGGAGCCGGCCAACAGCGGUUGUUUCCGGCCCAGAAGGUCGGUCGGGAGGUGCCCCUGCACUCGUGUAGGGAGCGUAUAGCCGUUCGUCCGGUGGUCUGGGAGCGACCGAGGAGAGUCGUGAAUUUUCACGCGUGCAGCGCAGGCCCCUCGGGGCCGGGCCGCCUCUGUCCGUUUGGGUCCCGCGGUGGGGACUGCGUGCAGUGUCCGCUGACGGUUCGCCUGCUCGGUCGGGGGGUCGGCCACGCCUUGCGCUCGGGCUGUUGGUGCUCAAAUGGCUGCAUCCGACCCGUCUUGAAACACGGACCAAGGAGUGCAACAUGCGUGCGAGUCUUGGGGUGGAAAACCCGUCGGCGCAAUGAAGGUGAAGGCAGUCGUUGGUCUGCCCAGGCGAGAGCCUCCUCCGGGGGCGCAUCGUCGACCGAUCCCAGGCUACGCUGUGGCGGGAUUUGAGUAAGAGCGUGCCUGUUGCGACCCGAAAGAUGGUGAACUAUGCCUGAAUAGGGUGAAGCCAGAGGAAACUCUGGUGGAAGCUCGUAGCGAUUCUGACGUGCAAAUCGAUCGUCAAAUUUGGGUAUAGGGGCGAAAGACUAAUCGAACCAUCUAGUAGCUGGUUCCCUCCGAAGUUUCCCUCAGGAUAGCUGGAGCCCGGUGCAGUUUUAUCAGGUAAAGCGAAUGAUUAGAGGUCUUGGGGUUGAAACAACCUCAACCUAUUCUCAAACUUUAAAUGGGUAAGAAGCUCGGCUUGCUCAGUUGAAGUCGGGCAUUGAAUGCCGGGGCUCUUAGUGGGCCAUUUUUGGUAAGCAGAACUGGCGAUGUGGGAUGAACCAAAUGCCGAGUUAAGGUGCCCGAAUCGACGCUCAUCAGAUCCCAUGAAAGGUGUUGGUUGAUCCAGACAGCAGGACGGUGGCCAUGGAAGUCGGAAUCCGCUAAGGAGUGUGUAACAACUCACCUGCCGAAUCAACUAGCCCUGAAAAUGGAUGGCGCUGAAGCGUCGUACCCAUACUCGGCCGUCGGACCGGGCGGCAAGGUCCGACGUGUAGGAGGGCGCGGUGGUGGCUGCGCAGCCUCUGGCGCGAGCCUGGGUGAAGCCGCCACUGGUGCAGAUCUUGGUGGUAGUAGCAAAUAUUCAAACGAGAGCUUUGAAAACUGAAGUGGAGAAGGGUUCCAUGUGAACAGCAGUUGGACAUGGGUUAGUCGAUCCUAAGAGAAGGGAGAGGUCCUUUGAGAGGGCGCAAUCGCCUCGGCGACCGCGCUGUUCCUCGAAAGGGAAUCGGGUUAACAUUCCCGAACCGGGAUGCGGAUAGGCCUCUGGCCGUCAGCGGCAACGCAAGCGAACUCGGAGACGUCUGCGGGAGCCCCGGGAAGAGUUCUCUUUUCUUCUUAACGGACUGGCACCCUGGAAUCAGAUUGGCUGGAGAUAGGGUUGAAUGUCCGGUAAAGCACCACACUUGUGGUGGUGUCCGGUGCGCUCUCGACGGCCCGUGAAAAUCCGAGGGAGC
rnacentral:rRNA from 1 species